CGCACUAUAACGCCCUCGAUGCGGCUAUAUCUCCCACGUGUCGAAGCAUGACUUAGAGGCAUAACCGCAUUGAAAGCAAUGUCGCAAGUGAGGUAAUCUUCACACAACCCAUGUAAUACAUAAGGGAAAGAGAUACAUAGUUGGCUUACAAUCGCCACUUCACUCAAUUACAUGAAUAAAGCAUUACAUCAAACAGAUACAAACAAGGUCUGACUACGGAACCAAAAUUAAAGAAGACUACCCCAAAUGCUACACAGAUCCCCGAUCGUACCGACUGGGCUCCACUACUGAUCAACUAGAAUGAAGCAAUACAAAGGACAAGAUAUUCAUCGAGCUCCUCCUUGAGCUUGGCUGCGUCACCUGCUCGGUUCAACGGCACCUGCAAGCUGGUUUUGGAAGUAUUUGUGAGUCACGGGGACUCAGCAAUCUCACACCCUCACGAUCAAGACUAUUUAAGCUUAUGGGUAAAGUAAGGGUAUGAGGUGGAGCUGCAGCAAGCGACUAGCAUAUUUGGUGGCUAACAUAUACGCAAAAGAGAGCGAGAAGAGAAGGCAAAGCACGAUCGAGAAACUAUGAUCAAGAAGUGAUCCUAGAGCAACCUACGUCAAGCAUAACUCCAACACCGUGUUCACUUCCUGGACUCCGCCGGAAAGAGACCAUCACGGUUACACACGCGGUUGAUGCAUUUUAAUUAAGGUCAACUUCAGGUUUUCUACAACCAGACAUUAACAAAUUCCCAUCUGCCCAUAACCACGGGAACGACUUUCGAAAGUUCAUAACCCUGCAGGGGUGUCCCAACUUAGCCCAUCACACGCUCUCACGAUCAACGAAGGAUAUUCCUUCUAGCAGGAAGACCCGAUCAGACUCGGAAUCCUGGUUACAAGACAUUUCGACAAUGAUAAAACAAAUCCAGCAACACCGCCCGAAUGUGCCGACAAAUCCCGAUAGAAGCUGCACUUAUCUCGUUCUCAGGGCACACUCAGAUUGUCUAAACUUCCGGUAGGCCAGCCUAGAGUUGCCCCUAGUGGUCGCCGGCGGCUGACGAGGUGGACCAACACUCAGAGGAGCACUGGCCCGAGGGGUUAAAAUAAUGAUGACCCUUGAGUCUGCGAAACCCAAGGGAAAAAGAGGCUAGGUGGCGAAUGGUAAAACCAAUGUUGGGCAUUGCUGGAGGAGUUUUAUUCAAGGCGAACUAUCAAGGGGUUCCCAUUAUUACCCAACCACGUAAGGAACGCAAAGUCCGGGAACAUAACACCGAUAUGACGGAAACUAGGGCGACAAUAGUGGAACAAAACACCAGGCAUAAGGCCUAGCCUUCCACCCUUUAACAAGUAUAUAGAUGCAUUAAUUAAAUAAGAGAUAUUGUGAUAUCCCAACAAAAUAUCCAUGUUCCAAACAUGAAACAAGCUCCACUCUUCACCUGCAACUAACAACGCUAUAAGAGGGGCUGAGCAAAGCGGUAACAUAGCCAAACAAUGGUUUACUAGGACAAGGUGGGUUAGAGGCUUGACUCAACAAUAUGGGAGGCAUGAUAAGCAAGUGGUAGGUAUUGUAGCAUAGGCAUAGCAAAAGAACGAGCAUCUAGCAAGCAAAGAUAGAAGUGAUUUCGAGAGUAUGGUCAUCUUGCCUGAAAUCCCGCAAGGAAGAAGAACGAGUCCAUGAAGAAGACAAACGGGCGAAGUUGAACAUAUCCUCACAAACGCGACGUUAUCGGAACCAACCCGAAGAAGUAACACCGGAAAAAAGCAAAUAACAAGGUAAACAACCAAGCAUAACAUGGCAUGAUGCACAAUCAGGUAUGAUGCAUGUCCGGUUUAAUGAGGCAUGGCAUGGCAAAGUGCACAAGCAAAACUACAAGUUAAGUGGAGCUCAAUAUGCAACAAGUUGCAUAUUAAAGAAACACCACAUUCAAGUUGUUUAGUUUCGAUCUUGUUUAUGUACCCAACAAUAUUAAAUGUUGUUAAACAUGGCAAGAGAUGAAGCAUACUGAAACUAUCUAUCUAGGCAAGUUUAAAUAAGGUCGGAACAAGAAGACAACAAGUCCGGAAACUCCUCAUGUGCAUAUAUUAGGUUUGGUACUGUUCUGGUCUAAACACAAUUUUAGAGUUGCUAAGCAUGCAAGAUGAGUGCACCAAGUAAAUCUAGGCAUUUUUCUACCCCAUUUACAUAUAAAGUUUAUUAAAUUCGGAGUUACGGUUAUUUAGUUAUGAAAUAAAGCAUUUUAGCAUGACAUAGGAGAAAAAUUACACAAACAGCAGUUUAAACAUUUUUAACAUGGAUGAAAGUUGCAUAUUAUUAAACUAGUUGAAAUUCUAAGCAAGUUUCAUAUUAAGUUUGUUUAAUUUGGAUGCACGGUUUGAGAGUUAUUAAAUGCAUGAACAGCAGGGGGUUUUCUGCAAAACUGCUCUCCUCUGGAAAAAAAGAAAAACGCUGAAAGGAAAAAAAACAGAAGCAGGACAAAAUUGCUGGGCCCAAGG
rnacentral:lncRNA from 1 species